GCGACAGGACGGAAAGACCCCGUGGAGCUUUACUGUAGCCUGAUAUUGAAAUUCGGCACAGCUUGUACAGGAUAGGUAGGAGCCUUUGAAACGUGAGCGCUAGCUUACGUGGAGGCGCUGGUGGGAUACUACCCUAGCUGUGUUGGCUUUCUAACCCGCACCACUUAUCGUGGUGGGAGACAGUGUCAGGCGGGCAGUUUGACUGGGGCGGUCGCCUCCUAAAAGGUAACGGAGGCGCUCAAAGGUUCCCUCAGAAUGGUUGGAAAUCAUUCAUAGAGUGUAAAGGCAUAAGGGAGCUUGACUGCGAGACCUACAAGUCGAGCAGGGUCGAAAGACGGACUUAGUGAUCCGGUGGUUCCGCAUGGAAGGGCCAUCGCUCAACGGAUAAAAGCUACCCCGGGGAUAACAGGCUUAUCUCCCCCAAGAGUUCACAUCGACGGGGAGGUUUGGCACCUCGAUGUCGGCUCAUCGCAUCCUGGGGCU
rnacentral:rRNA from 1 species